rnacentral:rRNA from 1 species
GAUGAACGCUGGCGGCGUGCCUAAUACAUGCAAGUCGAGCGAACAGACGAGGAGCUUGCUCCUCUGACGUUAGCGGCGGACGGGUGAGUAACACGUGGAUAACCUACCUAUAAGACUGGGAUAACUUCGGGAAACCGGAGCUAAUACCGGAUAAUAUAUUGAACCGCAUGGUUCAAUAGUGAAAGACGGUUUUGCUGUCACUUAUAGAUGGAUCCGCGCCGCAUUAGCUAGUUGGUAAGGUAACGGCUUACCAAGGCAACGAUGCGUAGCCGACCUGAGAGGAUGAUCGGCCACACUGGAACUGAGACACGGUCCAGACUCCUACGGGAGGCAGCAGUAGGGAAUCUUGCGCAAUGGGCGAAAGCUUGACGGAGCAACGCCGCGUGAGUGAUGAAGGUCUUCGGAUCGUAAAACUCUGUUAUUAGGGAAGAACAAAUGUGUAAGUAACUAGGCACGUCUUGACGGUACCUAAUCAGAAAGCCACGGCUAACUACGUG